CACAAAUCAGUUCAUUUCGGGCACUCGACUCGGAAGGAGAUAAUUCAUGUAUCUUAAAUAAUUUUAUUAUUUUUUUAAAUUUUUCAAUUUAUUUUUUAAUAAAAAUUAAUAAAAAUGAGUGCCGAAUCGAGUCAAAUUAACAAUUCGCGUCACAAAUCCAAAAAUUACGGCUCAAUAACUGUCGAAAACAGAAUUUUUCAGUCUGAAAAUCCGCAUGAUGGCAAUAUCCCGGAAAAUAACACAAACAAAUUUAACUCAAACCUCAACAAUGCUCGUAAAAUUGUGAUAAAAUUCGUUGAACGCCAAGUGCAGGAACUGCAAAGACGGAAUUUUCGCAUUUCUCGACUCAGAAGUCACCUGAAAUUGUUGCGAAAAAUCCUGCAUUUGAAUAAAAAUCCGAAAAAGAAGGGUUAUGAUAAAUAUUUAAAUGAAGAAGAAAAGAGAUGGCUUGAAAAUUAUUACAUGAAUAACCCACAAACGCAUUUUGAGCCACGUUGGAUUGCAGGAACCGGUAUAGCACUUCAUAGUUGAUAAUUUUUUGAUAAUUAUUUUUGUCUGUAGGUGAAUUUUGUGUAUUCGGCGGAGGUCCUCCAUGAUAUCAUCGUUAUCGUUAUCACCUGCUUUUAUCAUCACUUAUAUGUAUAUAUUUAUCAAUUGUCUGAUAAGCUGUUACAAAAAUAUUAUUUUUUGUUUUAUUUAUAUAUUUUGUUUGUUAAAAGUCUAUUUUUUUAAUGUUAAGCUUGAAUUUUUUCGCAAAUAUUUGUAGUUCAUUAACCAGAAAAAUGCAUUUUGUCACAAGGUUCAAAGUAUCUGUGUCAACGCCAUAUUCUUAUCAAUUUGAAGAAUUUCAAUAAACAAGUAAGGAGGCUGUGAAAAAAUAUCAAUUAUUAAAAUUAUCAAGAAAAAACAACUUUAUUUAAUUUUUGUAUGAUUUUUAU